rnacentral:rRNA from 1 species
AUGAACGCUAGCUACAGGCUUAACACAUGCAAGUCGAGGGGAAACGGCAUCGAAAGCUUGCUUUUGAUGGGCGUCGACCGGCGCACGGGUGAGUAACGCGUAUCCAACCUGCCCAUCACUUGGGAAUAACCUUGCGAAAGUAAGACUAAUGCCCAAUGACAUCCCACGAAGGCAUCCGAAUGGGAUUAAAGAUUUAUCGGUGAUGGAUGGGGAUGCGUCUGAUUAGCUUGUUGGCGGGGUGACGGCCCACCAAGGCAACGAUCAGUAGGGGUUCUGAGAGGAAGGUCCCCCACAUUGGAACUGAGACACGGUCCAAACUCCUACGGGAGGCAGCAGUGAGGAAUAUUGGGCAAUGGGCGAGAGCCUGAACCAGCCAAGUAGCGUGCAGGAUGACGGCCCUAUGGGUUGUAAACUGCUUUUAUAAGGGAAUAAAGUGGGUCACGUGUGACUUUUUGCAUGUACCUUAUGAAUAAGGACCGGCUAAUUCCGUG